GUUAUAGUGUGUGCUAUUGCUAUCCAAACAUGUUUAGACAUGUCCAAAGAGAGUGUCCAAAAGUAGUUACUCUCUUUUAGUUCCAAGAUAGAUUGUUACAUUGUCAAAUAUUGCUAUUACGAAUAUUCGCUUGCAUAAAUCUAGCUUUGCAUAAAAACCAUUUCUUGCCUGUUCCCCCGCAUGUGUAACCCUUUUGAAAACGUUCUUGGUGGUCAUCUCUUGUUGUUGCGUUGACGCCGGCAUAAAAGCAGCAGCAACCGCUGUCAUUUUUGUUUUGUUUCUACUCUAUUUCGAGGCCACAUGCACACGCACACACAUGCAAAACGAAGACGCAGAGAGCGAAAGAGAAACGAACACCAAGGCACAGGUAAUAAAAACUGUUUAAAACAACAAAUGUAUUUAUUUGCUUGAAAUUUAACGGCUUUCUAAUUUGUUUCAAGGCAAAGCAGAGACGCAAACACACAAAUCAGAAAUCAAAAGCAGCCACAGCAGCACCCGCGCGUCUGCUUGCGGCAUGAGUCGUAAAUGCGAUAUUUUGUGAUAUUUUUUGACCCGCGAAAGACUAUAAAACCGGGAAAUAAUGCAAAAAAAAAACAACUUCAAUCAAACAGAACAGAAAUUCAUGCACGCACAGCGCGAAACGAGACCGAAAUGAGACCCGGGAACGAGGACAACAGCAGAAAACAGUGCGCACCGCUGAUCGUCAGAGGGCGAAGGUGGAGUGCAGAGCGAGUGCCACCAUUCAUUUAUCAUUUGUCUUCAGGUAACGAAGCAAAGAGUGUAAGGAGAGUCAAAAAACCAGCAUGGCUACCUGUUGCACUCACACACUCGCAUACCGAAACCCGUUAUCUUCGAAGUCACGCUAUCUGCCUCUCGCUCUGGCCCACUCACUGAGCGGCUUAAUCAGGUUGUCGCCGCACACACCGCACCGCAGCGCACACCGCAAUCGUUUAUUUGUGAUACGCCUACCUACGAACGCAGAGCAGCGCAGCGAGUACCUCCAGAGCGGGCAUUAAACCGCAGAUCCACACACAAUGGAAGCGCUUUGUUGUCGCUUCGUCGUCGUUAUCAAUUAAAUGUAACGCAAAGCAAAGUGAAAUGAAAAUGAAAAUGGCAGCCCAGCCGUACAGCCGUACUACUACGCCUACAGUGGAUGCCAUGUGGAUGUGAACACGUUACAAAAGCGGAAAUGCCAAUUGAAGCUACCUUUAACAAUGCCCCCACGAAGAUGCCCAGGGGUCCCAGGGGUUGACUGACUGACUGCCGCAUGACUCAAGUGCACGUGGGAAGCGCAUGGUUAAGCAAUUACGCGGGAUCGCCACUCGAGUGGCUGGGCACAAGGUACAGUCUGACCCCCCCGGUGGCCUUAGCUUCGAUAAGCAGGCGCACACGUGCGUUCAUCUACAUGUGUGUAUGGAAAAGUAUCUCGGAGCACCUUCCACGAAUUUUCGGGGUAUUUGAAUGCUGCUGAUAAGAAACGGGAUCUCAAUCGAUCAGAGCGCGUGUGUACCGAGCGUAAACAACUUGUUAGGGGAUCAGGGCCGGAAUGCGAUGGAAAGACGUUCUACGUACACUGAUCAAAUCAGGUGACACACAGAGAAAGGUUCAUUGCUUCAGCGGGAUACGGAUUUUGCUUAUCAUCACUCCUACCCACCCGUUUCUUAUCAGCCUGAACGUGAGGUCCGUGUGAAAUCAGCGAAAUCUGAAAGCGGAAGAAGCUAUCAACUGCCAUAGUCCCGCCUCGGACCACACAUUAGAUCGCUUCAAAGCGCCCAUCAACUUAAACGACUCUGGCAUGGAUCCGUCUGCGCGGGUCCAGCGCGGGUCCAACGGCUGCCCGGGCGGGCACGCCUGGUUAAUUGCAGGCGACAAGCCUUUGGCUAUAAUUAUAACGCAACGUAGGUGGGCGUGUGGUCUAGAGCACUGAGGUCCUCCCCCCGCCUCACCAAUAGACAAAUCAAAUGAA